UGUUCAGCCAAAAGAAGGUCAAUUUUCUCCAGAAACUCAGACUUUGGAUCAGUUACUUCAUUAGGCAAGGGGUCCUCUUCGACUUCAGCGUCAUGUACAUCACCAGGUGAUCGAUUCCAAUCAUCCAUCUCACGGCAAACUCCAGCCAUCAGAUCCUGCACAAGAAUCCCCUGAGAAGAAAUAUGUUUCCGUAGCUCAACCAACUCGUGCUCCAUCUCCACCGCUUCUUCAGAUAUUCUAAACAAACCAAACAUAAAGAUAUGAAUCUCAGAAACUAGCACAACGAAUACAAAGAAACAUGACUUAACCUUACACCAAACACUCAAGAUCCUCUUCAUUAGGCAAGGGGUCCUCUUCGACUUCAGCGUCAUGUACAUCACCAGGUGAUCGAUUCCAAUCAUCCAUCUCACGGCAAACUCCAGCCAUCAGAUCCUGCACAAGAAUCCCCUGAGAAGAAAUAUGUUUCCGUAGCUCAACCAACUCGUGCUCCAUCUCCACCGCUUC
rnacentral:lncRNA from 1 species